GGAGAGAUGGCUGAGUUGGUCGAAGGCGCUCGCCUGGAAAGCGAGUA
rnacentral:tRNA from 1 species